GUGGGGAAUAUUGGGCAAUGGACGCAAGUCUGACCCAGCAACGCCGCGUGAAGGAAGAAGGCUUUCGGGUUGUAAACUUCUUUUAAGGGGGAAGAGCAGAAGACGGUACCCCUUGAAUAAGCCACGGCUAACUACGUGCCAGCAGCCGCGGUAAUACGUAGGUGGCAAGCGUUGUCCGGAUUUACUGGGUGUAAAGGGCGUGCAGCCGGGAAGACAAGUCAGAUGUGAAAUCCCGCAGCUCAACUGCGGAACUGCAUUUGAAACUGUAUUUCUUGAGUAUCGGAGAGGUAACCGGAAUUCCUAGUGUAGCGGUGAAAUGCGUAGAUAUUAGGAAGAACACCAGUGGCGAAGGCGGGUUACUGGACGACAACUGACGGUGAGGCGCGAAAGCGUGGGGAGCAAACAGG
rnacentral:rRNA from 1 species